GCGCCUGUAGCUCAACAGGAUAGAGCGUCGGACUUCGAAUCCGAAGGUUGCGGGUUCAAGUCCCGCCAGGCGCACAA
rnacentral:tRNA from 1 species